rnacentral:tRNA from 1 species
GGGAUAUAGUUCCGUUGGUAGAGUGCUUGCCUUGCAUGCACAAGACCCUGGGUUCAAUCUCCAGUACUUCCA